rnacentral:tRNA from 1 species
AGGCUGGCCAGGUUGGUCGGCCAGGCCCGUUCGAGGCGGGCCAGCCCCGCGUCGGUGAUGACGGCGUUCCAGCCGCGGGCGUCCUC